rnacentral:rRNA from 1 species
GGCUUGGCGUAGUCUUUGGGUGUGGGUGGUGGUGAAGGGUGGAAUAGGAUGGAAGAAGGGGACCAGUUGGGCAGCGGCCGGUCACGGGCGUCGGGACGUGGUGGGGUUGGGUGGAGGGCGUGCUGGUGCUGGGGUUAGGGAGGUGGAGGAAAGCAGCGCGGUAGAGGGAGAUGGUGCGACGUGGUGGUGGAGGCAGGUGGUACGGCGACGCGGUGGAGGGAGGUGCCACGGCGUGGUGGUGGAGGGAGGGGGCGCGACGGCGGGGUGGAGGUAGGUGGAGCAGCGUGGUGGUGGAGGGAGGGGGCGUAGAAACGGCGUGGAAGGAGGCUGACGUGGUGGUACCUCACGCGGCUGUCAGCUAGACGGUGCUGGCCGGGAGGGGUCCGGUGGUGGCGCGGCGGGGACGGUUCCGGCGGCGGCGCCGGGACGGCGCUCGUAGUACCCGCAGCUAGUGGAAGACGCGACACCACCUGCCUAGGUGCCGGGGGGAGGGCGGUACCGACGGAGGAGCGUCACGGGGGUAGGGCGCGUUACCACCGAUGAAGAGGGUGUCGUUUGGCUGACGGCGAACUACCUAGGGAGGCCUAGACCGGCGGUGCCCGGUGUCCCCGCCGGUAGUGGUGGCCUAGGCCACCUCGGCAUCCGACCGGAGGGAGCUGGAGGGAUAUGCCGCACUCGUAUGCCCGUGGGGCAGGGGUACCGCCGUCGGAGUUUACGCACCUCACCAACCACACCGCGUAGGGUCGAUCUAGCUGCUUCAGCAGGGCGUCCAGUCCCGGCUGGAGUGGGGGGAGACGGACCCGCGUAGCGAAACGUCGGAAGGGACAACAGGCUGCCGGUGUCGGCACGUCAGGCCGCUGGCCUCGGUACAUCCGGCACUUCAACUCGAGUUGCGAGGAACUGAAGGACGAGUCAAGCAGUGCUGGGCGCACUGGAGGGUUACGGUACUGGUCGACGUGGCCGGGUGGGAGAACGAGGACGGAGUGGGCGAGCGCGGCGACCCCGAGAAAUGACGUGACGUAACUGAAUGACUGCUCCUCACCUCCUAACUUCCACGAGAGGAAGGUACCACGUAGGGGCGCCCCUACUCUAAACGGCACACGUGGACGUCAGAUGACAGAAACAACGAAAAAAAAUUCUUUUUCCAGUUUUCACGUCUCAUCAGGCGAUUACAAACGAGAACUCCAAGUAAAAUGAGAAAAAAACGUCUUUCCUAUUUACUACAUCUUUUCUACUGGCUGUCCAUACUUCCUCCAGGUAACCCCGGCUCCAAGACCGCUAUCGUCGAACGACAGACCCGUUCGUACUGUGCGUCGAGCAUCCGCACGCACACACAGCAAGCCACAGAACAGCAGGAAGGAGACCGCUCUAGGACGUAGGGGGAGCUCGUGGAGAGAAGACGUUUUAGCUCAUCGGUUAGAGGACAUCAAAACACCCACGUAGUGACGAUGUACGUACGUAGGACAAAGUACGAGGAGAGGUGGGAGGGAUCUCCCGUACGUCGAACAGCCCACGGCCGUACACGAACGUCCAGGAUGGUAGGAUCGUUGGCUACCCAGUGGGGAAAAGUCGCUCGUGACGCACGUCACGCCCGCUCACACUGUACGUCACGCCCACUAACACGGCACGUCGAGCGGCCCGCAGACCCGCUGCUUGGAGUGAACGUCGAGAGAGGAGGUAGAGGAACAACAAGCACCCUUCUUCCCCUGUUCGCGUGACGUGAUCCCCACCAGCCACAGUAUGAAAAAAAUUCAUCAAGUAGAACAAUACAGUAAAAAAUCAUCAGUAGAACGACAUACAAAGUCAAACUGGUACAAUUACGUACGUCGAGAAACAACCACACCCACGUCGAGUGUACGUAAACACCUCAAGUUGCCGCGUGUCCGGACGCGCACGCCAGGGUUUCCUACUUCACUACGUCAAGAUAACCUACGGGACAAUGAGUUAAAACAACAACAACUUUUCACGUGACGUAAUCAAGUAAUAUUUUUAACGUCAAGGAAUGGCACUAAACCAACCACCUCUCACAUCUAAGAUAUACGAUAUUUCGAGGAGACAACAGGUGAACCAUUUG